GACGAACGCUGGCGGCGUGCUUAACACAUGCAAGUCGAACGGAAAGGCCCCCAUCUUGGUGUGGGUGCUCGAGUGGCGAACGGGUGAGUAACACGUGGGUGAUCUGCCCUGUACUUCGGGAUAAGCUUGGGAAACUGGGUCUAAUACCGGAUAGGACCAUGGUUUAGUGUCUCAUGGUGGAAAGAUUAUUUUUUUGGUGCAGGAUGAGCUCGCGGCCUAUCAGCUUGUUGGUGGGGUAAUGGCCUACCAAGGCGUCGACGGGUAGCCGGCCUGAGAGGGUGGACGGCCACAUUGGGACUGAGAUACGGCACAGACUCCUACGGGAGGCAGCAGUGGGGAAUAUUGCACAAUGGGCGCAAGACUGAUGCAGCGACGCCGCGUGGGGGAUGACGGCCUUCGGGUUGUAAACUCCUUUCGUUAGGGACGAAGCCGCACUUUUUUUGGGUGUGGUGACGGUACCUUUGUUAAGAAGCACCGGCUAACUACGUG
rnacentral:rRNA from 1 species